UUUUCCUAACGGUAAUAUAAUCGGAAUGUUAUUUUAAUAAGAAAAAUGAUUAUUAAUAAUAUAUUAUGAUACUGCAUAAAUAAUUUUGUGAAAUUUAACUUACAAUAAAAAAAAUAAAAUAAAAAUAAAGUAGUACUUCUAUAAAGAUUCAUAACAUAGCUAUUUUCCUAACGGUAAUAUAAUCGGAAUGUUAUUUUAAUAAGAAAAAUGAUUAUUAAUAAUAUAUUAUGAUACUGCAUAAAUAAUUUUGUGAAAUUUAACUUACAAUAAAAAAAAAAAUAAAAAAAAUAAAGUAGUACUUCUAUAAAGAUUCAUAACAUAGCAUAAGAAAGUGAUUCAUAACAUAUACAUAGAUAGUGAUUCAUAACAUAUAUAUAUAUGAUAAAUUGAUAACGUUAAAGGAAAUUCUACAUUAUAACCCUUAAUUUUUGCUACCUAUUCUUGGUAACCCCUCUUUUAUUUUAUUUCACAAAAUGACCUUAAUUAAAAUUUUAUUCUAUCUUAUAACCUUAUUGGGUUAAUUUUUAUUAAAAUACAAAUCAUGGUUAACUUUAAUGAUUAGAUUACUAUUAUGCUCUCUACCCACAUCCCUUUACAACCUCCACCACCAUCACAUCAAACACCACAACCACCCAUCCACCAUCGUAAACCAACAAUGGGCCUCAGAAACUACCCCAGCCACCCCCAAAUAUAAUUCACUUUAAUUAACCGCCCACCACACGACUGAAAACCCAUCCACCUGGCCAAAAAACCGUCCUCCCCCUUUGAAAAUCCGACCCUCACCAGGCACCAUCCACUCUUUUAUGAAAUCAAACGCACAUCACCUAACCCCUUCAAAAAUCCAACCCAAAACUACUCACCCCUUCGAAAAUCCUUCCCCAACCACCCACGCCUUCGAAAUUGAACUGGGGCUUAUGUGGUUCGUUUUGCCUUCGAAAUUGAUUGCUGCUUGAUGUGGUCAAAGCUGUUGCAAUUGUUUUUGUUGUUUGUUUGGUGUGGUAGUGGAUAAGCUGGGUGGUAUUGGCGGUGGUGGCGCACCAGAGGAUGGGGGAACGAUGGAGGUGGCUGUAGGGAGUACUAUGAUGGGGAAGAGGAUAAAGAAAAAUGUUUUUUAGGAUGUUUUUUUAAAAUGAAAUCUAACCAUAGUUAGUCUUUAACCAAAAUUUUAAGUAAAAACACUCAUUAAGGUUAAAAGAUAUAAUAGAAUUUUAAUUUGUAAAUAAAAUAAAAUGAGGGUUACCAAAUAUAGGUAGCAUAAAUUGGGGAUUACCAUGUUAAAUUUCCCUAAUGUUAAUUUGGAAACUAUUCAUCUUGCCUUAAAAUAGGGCACUUAUAUACUCGUCGCUUUAAAAAAAAUGCUUAUACUCCCGUACAUCGAAUACUCGUCGCUUCAUCAUUCCACCAUAAGUUUGCACGAGUGUACCUGAGUUCAAAACCUCGACUCUCCAUGGCACUGUCCAAUUGUAAGAUUCACAAUGCUGCAUGUCAUCAAGGGUAUCAUCCCCUCCACAAGGACUAGCUCUCAUAAAUAUUCUUACAACAAUAAUUUUCCAGCUGCAUCCAAUCCACAUCAACGUUUGCGUUAAUCCGUUUUCCUUUCCAACAACAUAGUUCCACUCUGUAUUAAGCCGUAACAAAUUAGUAGAUAAAAAAUCUCAUUAAUCUUAGGAUAAAUAUGAGUCUCAAAAAUUAUAUCCCAGUCGGAAAAUUUCUCUUGGUCACUACUACAAAAACCUUGUUUUUUCGACGCUAUCAUCGCUUGGGAAGACCGUCAACGUAAAUUUGGACUUUAGCGUGUUUUGUCGACGCUUUUAAGCAUCAUAAAAAUCUGUCGGCUACUUUUCGCGUAGAGAGCUUACUUAUAGUCGCGUGCCCUGUUUGUGAUAUUAUCUUAGAUCCCGCGUGUUCAAAUUCUAGGGUUAUUAACAAUUUGGCAUUAUCAUCUUUUUCAACUGCCUCUCUGUAAAUUCUCUCUCUACCUACUUCUAUAUCUCUCUUAUGCUCAAUUUUUUUCUUCUCAAAGGUCCACAUACAACUCAUUCCAUGUUUAGGUGAAUUAAUUUUUCUUUCUUCUCACAAUUUGAAUUUCCAGUAUAAGAUGGAUAUUUAUCUCAAAUUGAAAUUUUUUUCCCAAAUCUCGUUCAAAAUGCUAUAAGAGGAAAUUACAAAUUAUAUGAGGUGUCUUUGGUAUAAAAUGCUGGUAAUUUUCUCCAUUUUAUUUCUUAAAUAAGCAUAUAUACUUAUGUUUCUCAUAAUCGGAUAUGAGUUUGUGUCUCUACUGAAGUUUCAGGUGUGAAACUGCAACUUUCCCUCUCUUAUCCCCCUAGCUUCCCUCUCUCCAUUAAAAAGAAAUGUAUGUUUUGCAUUUGUUCAUUACUGUUUUAUAUGCUUCUGGUUAAUCUACUAUCAUUGAUGCUGAGUUUCUUGCAGAUACCAGAGCCAUAGUUUAAUUUCGUCAAAUUUAGAGAUAUUUACGUUCCUGGUGUGAAUUACUAGACAUGCCAUCAAAUUUACAACUUGAGAUCGACAUUAUUACUCUGCUAUAUCAAUUCCUAAAGAUUUUCCUAACUCGGAGGCUAGAUUCUUACAUAGAAUUGCAGGCAACAAACUCUACCUUGCUGAGAACUACGGUAAAUUGCAUUUCUUGUACAUGAGCUCGAUCUUUGUGCUAUUUUUUUUGGGAGCUUUACCUUUUUCAAACAGAUUUUAGUAUUAACUUAUAUUAGGAAGAGAAAGCAUAAGUGGAGUAUAUAUUAAGUUUCCCUCUGUGACUAAAUUGACUUACAACUUAUAGCUUACAAGCUGGCAUGAUUAUGCUAGUAUCCAGAUAUUCCAAAAUGUUUUUGUAGAGUUCAAUAGUGCAUCUAAAAAGUGAUGUGAUUUGACCGACACAAUCACAUUUUUGUAGUAUAUGAGUGUUCCUAAAUUACUCAAAACUGAUGUGAUGCUCCCAACACAAUCACUUUUUUGUGCUUCUUCAAUUCAAGGUUGAUUUCCACCUAGAUAUUUGCCUAAUGAUUCAAGAGGGGGAUCCUUCCUAAUAAGGUAACCUGUAAUCUGUUGCUUGGACCUUUGGUUUUUAAUUUUUUUUAUUAAUGUGCAACUGGUGAAUCGAUGAAGGCUUCUCUUUACGGGCAUAAUAAUAGUGAAGUUAUCAAACAAGUUUUAAGUACUAGGCUUAGCCUUGAUGUUAUUCAUCUGAGUUUGCUGAAACUGUGAUAUUUUGCAUAUUGUAAUUUGUAGUAAUAUUGUGCUAUAACUAUUUAAAAGUUGUACAUGUUAUCAUUUUUGCUCUCUAGCUCUUUUUUCCUUGUAUUUUAUUUUUUGAAGUUGCGUUUCUGCAUACUAAUGAGUUUAAGACUCAGUUUGAGCUAGAUUAGUGUGAAAUAUAAAUGGUUGUGUGGAUAUCUGAGUGGAAUAUCCCACGUAUUGUCAUGGUAAUGCAUCUCCACUGUUCAACUAGAUUUUCUCAACAUCCUUGUUUCUUCUAAACACCUAUAACAUCAAAAUUAGAUAGAAAGAUUAAUGUUGUUGUUGUUGUUGUAGGAUGCUGAUCACACUCUUGUCGCUCCACCUUGCGUUGCUACUCUAUAAUGUUGUUUCCGAUGCUGUUGGUCCAUGAUGAUGUUGUUGUCUGUCUUCCCAGGCCACACUAAACCACUUAGUUCCUGCCGAAGGAUCCACAAACAUCAAAGGGUGUGCUGUGAUUCGUCACAGUAUGAAAUUUGCUUUACGCCCUUUGCAAGCAGAUUAAGGAGCAGCUAAUUGGAGAUCGACUGAAGUUUAUUUGUGAAGAAAUGAGCAGAUUUGUUCCACUACGUACUAGUCACGAAUGAAAUAUAAGUUGGAAUUAUAUUUGUUGUAAUAGAAAACUCAUUACAAUGAGAUAUUGUACAUGUACUAUAACAUAUUUAUAUGCAAUAAAAAAAAUAAAAUAAAAAAUAAAUUGGCCUAA